UACGUAGGGGGCAAGCGUUGUCCGGAUUUAUUGGGCGUAAAGCGCUCGCAGGUGGUUCAUUGCGUCGUGCGUGAAAGACCCCGGCUCAACUGGGGAGGGUCGUGCGAAACGGGUGAACUAGAGGCCAGUAGGGGUAUGCGGAAUUCCGGGUGUAGUGGUGGAAUGCGUAGAGAUCCGGAGGAACACCAGCGGCGAAGGCGGCAUCCUGGACUGGUCCUGACACUCAGGAGCGAAAGCGUGGGGAGCGAUCCGG
rnacentral:rRNA from 1 species